AUAUCAUCCCUAAAAAUAUCUCAAAAAGUUCUCUCUCUCUAAAAAAAAAUCUAUCUGCCUUCUUUCUAAAAACUCUCGCAACCGCCGCCCUCCAUCGAGGGUUACUGGUUCUGGUGGCUUUUUCAGCACCGGAACCGGGGUUUUUUUCUUUGUUCCAUGUUUUAGUUUCGUUUCCCUUUCUCUAACGGCGCAUCCAAGCUUCUUUUCUUCCAACGUUUCACAUCUAGAUUUUCAGAUCUAAAUUUAUAAAGUCUAAAUCUUCUUCCUUUGGGUUCUCGCGGCUUGUCUUUUGUUCUCCUCCACGCUUAGCCUCAGAUAUGGCGGAUCCAUCCAUGGCAAAGGUGCAGGUUCGAUCUGAUCCUUCUUCGCCUCAGACUUUGAAAUUCCACCUUGAAGAUCUCGAUCUCCUUCAUUCCUACAAGUGACUCUCAUUCCAUCGAGUUUAGGUUGAGGUAAGGAGAGUCUUCUAGUCUCAGAUCUGUUAUUUAAUUUUGAUUUAGGCUUUGUAAGUUUAAUUUGAGUCUUUGGAUUAUGAAUCCGGGAAGUUUUUUGUUCGGAUGUUUUGUAUUUAGUUGGUUCGGGUUUUUUCCCCUAAAGUUUCUCUUUAGUUUGAUCUUUGUCUCUGGGAGUUUUCAUGUACUCGCCGGCUUAGACUAUGGAAGGGUUUGUCCCUUGCCGGCUUUUGUAUUCCAUGUUUAUCUAUGAAAUCUAUCUUUCUUUUUUUUUUUGUCUAAAUUUAUUAUUAAUUGCAAAUUA
rnacentral:lncRNA from 1 species